AUGUUUUGUUCAAGUGCCAGUGAAACGAACGAUAGAAAAGAAAAAGCAUUCAAACUGUUUGCAAAACUUUUGGUUUGAAUACAAAAGACCAAGUGAAAAUGGUACUGAAAAGAUACACUUUCUUAUAUCUAAACAUCAUCGCAGCUUUCUAGUCUUCAUUUUUGUUUAUGUGUAUUUCAUCUGUGUUGCUAAUGAUAUCGCCAGUUUUUAUGAUUUAAUGUUGUUAGGUAAUCAUUAUGUUUCAGGCUAAAAUAGAGCUUUGGUUAAUACUUUUAUCCAGUUUAGAUGAAUAACAACUCUCAAGGUGUAUUAGCUGAAUUAUCUUUUUGUUUUGAUAGCCGUUAUUCAAUAAAGGAUUUUUAAAUUGUUAUGAGUCUACAACACUUAAUUUCAUGAAAAUUCAAUUAAAAAGUCAUGUCAUAGAAGACAGAAAAAUAUCAAUAUCUGUUUUCAAUAACUUGGCUUUCAUAGCAAAUCUGAGAGUUGCAAAUGUUUAGCUU